GACGAACGCUGGCGGCGUGCCUAAUACAUGCAAGUAGAACGCUGAAGAGAGGAGCUUGCUCUUCUUGGAUGAGUUGCGAACGGGUGAGUAACGCGUAGGUAACCUGCCUUGUAGCGGGGGAUAACUAUUGGAAACGAUAGCUAAUACCGCAUAACAAUGGAUGACACAUGUCAUUUAUUUGAAAGGGGCAAUUGCUCCACUACAAGAUGGACCUGCGUUGUAUUAGCUAGUGGGUGAGGUAAUGGCUCACCUAGGCGACGAUACAUAGCCGACCUGAGAGGGUGAUCGGCCACACUGGGACUGAGACACGGCCCAGACUCCUACGGGAGGCAGCAGUAGGGAAUCUUCGGCAAUGGGGGCAACCCUGACCGAGCAACGCCGCGUGAGUGAAGAAGGUUUUCGGAUCGUAAAGCUCUGUUGUAAGUCAAGAACGGGUGUGAGAGUGGAAAGUUCACACUGUGACGGUAGCUUACCAGAAAGGGACGGCUAACUACGUG
rnacentral:rRNA from 1 species